rnacentral:rRNA from 1 species
AUUGAACGCUGGCGGCAGGCCUAACACAUGCAAGUCGAGCGAGCGGCGGACGGGUGAGUAAUGUGUGGGAACCUGCCUGAUGGAGGGGGAUAACUACUGGAAGCGGUAACUACUACCGCAUACCAUCAGAUGUGCCCCGAUGGGUCUAGCUAGUGGGUGGGGUAACGGCUCACCUAGGCGACGAUCCCUCGCUGGUCUGAGAGGAUGACCAGCCACACUGGAACUGAGACACGGGCCAGACUCCUACGGGAGGCAGCAGUGGGGAAUAUUGGACAAUGGGCGCAAGCCUGAUACAGCCAUGCCGCGUGUGUGAAGAAGGCCUUCGGGUUGUAAAGCACUUUCAGCGGGGAGGCGUUACCCGCAGAAGAAGCACCGGCUAACUCCGUGCCAGCAGCCGCGGUAAUAC